GAUGAACGCUAGCGGCAGGCCUAAUACAUGCAAGUCGGACGGGAUUUGGGAGCUUGCUCCUAAUGAGAGUGGCGCACGGGUGCGUAACACGUAUGUAACCUACCUUAAUCAGGGGGAUAGCCUCUCGAAAGAGAGAUUAACACCGCAUAACAUAUUUUUAUGGCAUCGUAGAAAUAUCAAAUAUUUAUAGGAUUAAGAUGGGCAUGCGGAACAUUAGCUAGUUGGUAAGGUAACGGCUUACCAAGGCUACGAUGUUUAGGGGAUCUGAGAGGAUGACCCCCCACACUGGUACUGAGACACGGACCAGACUCCUACGGGAGACAGCAGUAAGGAAUAUUGGUCAAUGGGCGCAAGCCUGAACCAGCCAUGCCGCGUGCAGGAAGACGGCCCUAUGGGUUGUAAACUGCUUUUGUACCGGAAUAAACCCUUUUACGUGUAGAAGGCUGAAUGUACGGUAAGAAUAAGGAUCGGCUAACUCCGUGCCAGCCGCCGCUGUAACAC
rnacentral:rRNA from 1 species